rnacentral:rRNA from 1 species
GAUGAACGCUGGCGGCGUGCCUAAUACAUGCAAGUCGAGCGAAUGGAUUAAGAGCUUGCUCUUAUGAAGUUAGCGGCGGACGGGUGAGUAACACGUGGGUAACCUGCCCAUAAGACUGGGAUAACUCCGGGAAACCGGGGCUAAUACCGGAUAACAUUUUGAACCGCAUGGUUCGAAAUUGAAAGGCGGCUUCGGCUGUCACUUAUGGACGGACCCGCGUCGCAUUAGCUAGUUGGUGAGGUAACGGUUCACCAAGGCAACGAUGCGUAGCCGACCUGAGAGGGUGAUAGGCCACACUGGGACUGAGACACGGCCCAGACUCCUACGGGAGGCAGCAGUAGGGAAUCUUCCGCAAUGGACGAAAGUCUGACGGAGCAACGCCGCGUGAGUGAUGAAGGCUUUCGGGUCGUAAAACUCUGUUGUUAGGGAAGAACAAGUGCUAGUUGAAUAAGCUGGCACCUUGACGGUACCUAACCAGAAAGCCACGGCUAACUACGUGCCAGCAGCCGCGGUAA